rnacentral:lncRNA from 1 species
UUUUUAUACACAUUCUACAUUGUUUGUACACAUUUAAAUAAUAUUUAUAUGUGUUUUAAUAUCUUUCAUAUACAUGAGUAACAUCUUCUAAAACACACUGUUAUGAACAUUGUCUUAUUAUUCAAAUACGCAUUGAAAUAUUGUUGUGUGUAAUACAAUAUUUUUUUUAACUAUGCAAACAUUUUAAUAACAUACGUGCAAAAAACCAUUUUAAUAACAUACCAUGAACAUAUUUAUAAAACUCGUG